rnacentral:tRNA from 1 species
GCCACGGUGGCACAACCUGGUACUGCGCAAGCCUGGAAAGCUUGUUCCCGCAAGGGUAUCUCGGUUCAAACUCAGCAUACGGCAUGCAGCAUACUGAACACCGUAUGCUGAUGAUUCUCCGAGCCGUGGCG